GCUUAUUUUUGUUUUGUUUUUGUUUUUUGUUUUUUUUAAGAACCAGAUUGCAGACCGUUUGUAAAGAGCCUCUUUAUUUAACAUUUGUAUUUCUGUAACACGGCUUAUAGUCCUGGCUGGCUGUUUUCACUUUUUGUGAUUAUGGUCAGGAAUUAGACACUGUUCUCUAUGAGGUAAUAAAAUCUAAGUUAAAUGUGAUACACUUUGAUAAGUAGUGAUACAAAAUGCCUUUUAUUAAGGAAAACUAAAACCAAUGUGGCCUGUUGUUUGGGGAAAAAAGUAAAUUAACAGCAUAAGCAUUGUGGGUGAAGAGUUUUAUUCAGAUCUUUGGAGUUUCUUUCUGCACUAAGUAAUGAUUCAAAGGCCAGGUUUUGUUGUGCUUCUGCUAAAAACUUAAAAAAAAAAUAAAAGUUUUCACUUAAGUAUUAUGUCAAAUUUGUAAUACUUGAGUAUGUAGGUAUAUUUAUAAUUUGGGGCUGUGGAAUGUAGCCCAGUGGCAAUUGCCUAGCAAGGCCAUGCAAGGCUUUGGAUUCAACAUCUCUGUUUAAGGCCCAAAACUCCUCCUAUGUUUAUUUGUAACUCAUUAUACUAUAUGCUGGGUUUUUUUUUUUUAUCUGAACUGAAUCGCAUAUAGCUAAGUUUAUAUAUUUUUGUGAUGUUUUGUAGGCUAGUGUGCAUUCAAACUUAGUAGAUAUUGGCUGUAGUGCAUUGGAAAGUUGAAUGUUUGUAAGGUUAGGGUAGUUGUAGAAAUACAGAACUUUAAGGUAUAAGCCAUGUUCAGGUGAAACUAAACUCUGUUGGUUGCUUUCAUCUUGCCUGUUUGUGUUAAUCACUGUUGUGUGUGAAUGUUUUUCUUACUGCACAUAAUGUGAGGGGUGGGAAGCUGGAAGGAGGCAAUAAAGUGCUUAAAUACU
rnacentral:lncRNA from 1 species